AUUGAACGCUGGCGGCGUGCCUAACACAUGCAAGUCGAGCGGUAACAGGUGUAGCAAUACAUGCUGACGAGCGGCGGACGGGUGAGUAACGCUUGGGAAUCUGCCUAUUAGUGGGGGACAACCCGGGGAAACUCGGGCUAAUACCGCAUACGCUCUACGGAGGAAAGCCGGGGACCGCAAGGCCUGGCGCUAAUAGAUGAGCCCAAGUCGGAUUAGCUAGUUGGUAGGGUAACGGCCUACCAAGGCUACGAUCCGUAACUGGUCUGAGAGGACGACCAGUCACACCGGAAC
rnacentral:rRNA from 1 species